AGUGAACGCUGGCGGUAGGCCUAACACAUGCAAGUCGAGCGGCAGCACAGUAAGAGCUUGCUCUUACGGGUGGCGAGUGGCGGACGGGUGAGGAAUACAUCGGAAUCUACUUUUUCGUGGGGGAUAACGUAGGGAAACUUACGCUAAUACCGCAUACGACCUACGGGUGAAAGCAGGGGAUCUUCGGACCUUGCGCGAUUGAAUGAGCCGAUGUCGGAUUAGCUAGUUGGCGGGGUAAAGGCCCACCAAGGCGACGAUCCGUAGCUGGUCUGAGAGGAUGAUCAGCGACACUGGAACUGAGACACGGUCCAGACUCCUACGGGAGGCAGCAGUGGGGAAUAUUGGACAAUGGGCGCAAGCCUGAUCCAGCCAUACCGCGUGGGUGAAGAAGGCCUUCGGGUUGUAAAGCCCUUUUGUUGGGAAAGAAAAGCAGCAGGUUAAUACCCCGCUGUUCUGACGGUACCCAAAGAAUAAGCACCGGCUAACUUCGUG
rnacentral:rRNA from 1 species